GUCGGUUGAUGCUAAAUAAGGUUUUGUUUCCACCCUGAACUUGGGUUCGCUGUGACUUGCCGCAGAGUUUCAGUGUCACGGAAUCAGCGAGAUCUACACCUAUGCAGCUGAUCCGUCCUGGCCAAAAGAGAAAAUCUUUCCUCCAGGAGUCAAGGAAGAACAAAAUAGAGAUAAUGUUGCUACAUACACUCAGCCACCACACCUGUUCAGCUGCUCAUUAACACAAAUAUCCUAUCAGCCGAUCACACGGCAGCAACUCAAAGCAUUUAGUCAGGUAGAUGUGGUCAAAAUGACCAGUUGAAGUUCAAACUGAGCAUCAGAAUUGGGAUGAAAGGUGAUUUAAGUGACUUUGAACGUGGCAUGGUCUGAGUAUUUCAGAAACCUACUGAACUUUGAAGCAGAUGGCCUACAGCAGCAGACGACCACAUGGUCACCUAAGAACGGGAAACUGAACAGAAUUUGGUGUGAUCAUGAAAGCAUGGCUCCAUCCUUCUUUUAAUCAACUGUCCAGGCACUUUCUGGGUCUUAGUACCCACUCAGCAUCAUUUCACUUCCCAGUCUACAUGAGUAUUAUUGUUUACUAUGUCCUUUGGUGCAAGUUUGUAGCUCAAAAGCCAACUGAUUUUCUGUAUAAACAAACCCACAAGCAUUAGGUCAAAGGACCACCUUGUUCGAGGAAGCAUGUUUGUACUGUGUCAAAGAUAUGUCAACGUAUGGUUUGUUUGUGCACAGUUGUGGUUUGCAUACACUCAUUGCGAGCAUGAGUGUCAUGGCAAGUUUGGGCUUUGAAUGAUGUCUUUGAACUAUUCUUUUUCUAGAACGGUAUGAUUGUACAGUACAUGUCUUUAAUGACAUGCAUGACAUAAAAAUUCCUUCUGGAUUUUCUCUUAAUUUUACAAGAUCAAAAGUACACAUGCAGGCUCACAUACAUACAUACACCCCUACUAAUAUUUGCUCAAAUGUCUCUUAGCAAGUUGUACCUCGACCGUAUGCUUUUGGUAUACAUCAACAAGCUUCUGUCAUAAUUCUGACUGGAAAUUCGACCGCUCUUCUUGGCAGAGUUCAUUUAAAUUAGUUGGUUUCCUGUCACAGACCCAGUCUACAAAUCUUCAACAGGGUUGAUUUGGAGCCUUGGGAAGAUUUAACCAUAUAGUAUGGGGGCUAUAUGUGUACAUUAACCCUCUGUGGUUUAGAAAAAAAUCUAAUUUAUAGUCAAUAAAGAUGUAUACUGUCCACAAUUAUUCUGUACUGUACAAUCAAAGGAACAGUUAGAAAUAAUCAAGAACUCAUUAAAAGCCAAAAAUUACCAGGACGUUUGUCCUGAUGAUGAGUGUAUGUAAACCACAGCUGUAUUAUCAGUCGGGGGACGGCGAGUGUACAACAAGUCAAGCAGUUAGCAAGUCAACUACCUGGCUAACUAAUGUUUGCUAUCCUUUUCAGUUGCUGAAGAAGCUAGCGGUCUCUCCUGUAAAAAACAAACAAACAAAAGAAACAUUUUUUUAGCAGACUUUACAGGAGCUACUCAAAAAUGUGGUCCUUAUUUCAACCAUGAUGUUUAGUAGUUGU